rnacentral:rRNA from 1 species
UACGACUUUCAUGACUUGACGGGCGGUGUGUACAAGACCCGGGAACUUAUUCACCGCAGCGUUGCUGAAUCUGCGAUUACUAGCGACUCCGACUUCAUGAGGUCGAGUUGCAGGACGUCAAUCAGAACUGGGACCGGCUUUUUUGGGGAUUCGCUCACCUCGGGGGUAUCGCCGCCCAUUUGUACCGGCCAUUGGUAGCAAGGCGUUGAAGGCCCAAGAACAAAGGGGGCAUGGAUGGAUUUUGAAGGGCCAUUCCCCCAACCCUUUCCUCCCGGAGUUUUGGACCCCCCGGGCAGGUAUUCCCCAAUGGAGUUUCCCCCACCCGAAACGGGGGUUGGGGCAAAAAAUAGGGAAACCGGGGGGGGGUUUGCCCCGCUUCCGUUUUUGGGGGGGAAAUUUUUAAACCCCCCAAAAAAAUCUUGCAAGGGAAAAAAAGGGGGGCGGGGACGGAACAAAACCAAUUGGCCACCCAACCCUGGUGUAACCCCCCCGGAACCCCAAAAAAGGGGGGGGGCGGGAAAUU